rnacentral:rRNA from 1 species
GAUGAACGCUGACAGAAUGCUUAACACAUGCAAGUCUUUGGCGAAGCUGUGCUUGCACCGCCUAGCCAAGGCGGACGGGUGGGUAACGCGUAAGGAACUUGCCCUGCAGUCAGGGAUAACAGACGGAAACGACUGAUAAGACCUGGUAAAGUCAGGCGGACUCAUGUCCAGCCUGAUGAAAAGAGAUGCUGCAGGAGAGCCUUGCGUCCUAUUAGCUUGUUGGUGGGGUAACGGCCCACCAAGGCGAUGAUAGGUAGCCGGCCUGAGAGGGUGGACGGCCACAAGGGGACUGAGAUACGGCCCUUACUCCUACGGGAGGCAGCAGUGGGGAAUAUUGGACAAUGGGGGCAACCCUGAUCCAGCAAUUCUGUGUGCACGAUGAAGGUUUUCGGAUUGUAAAGUGCUUUCAGCAGGGAAGAAAAAAAUGACGGUACCUGCAGAAGAAGCGACGGCUAAAUACGUG